UAAAUUAUUUCCUUUUUCAUUGAAGGUUCCUCCAAUUGAUUCCAGUUCAACAGAUGGAAUAGUACUGGACGACAAGUCCUUCAAAGGAGAUGUAGCAUUUGAAAACAUUGAAUUUGUAUAUCCUUCACGACCAGAUAUUAAGAUUUUGAAUGGGUUAAGUUUGACUGUGAAGAGUGGACAAACUGUAGCAUUAGUGGGUGAGAGUGGCUGUGGAAAGA